rnacentral:rRNA from 1 species
GACGAACGCUGGCGGCGUGCUUAACACAUGCAAGUCGAACGGUGAAGCUCCAGCUUGCUGGCGUGGAUCAGUGGCGAACGGGUGAGUAACACGUGAGCAACCUGCCCCAGACUCUGGAAUAAGCGCUGGAAACGGCGUCUAAUACUGGAUACGAGAUCAAGCCGCAUGGUUAUGGUCUGGAAAGUUUUUCGGUUUGGGAUGGGCUCGCGGCCUAUCAGCUUGUUGGUGAGGUAAUGGCUCGCCAAGGCGACGACGGGUAGCCGGCCUGAGAGGGCGACCGGCCACACUGGGACUGAGACACGGCCCAGACUCCUACGGGAGGCAGCAGUGGGGAAUAUUGCACAAUGGGCGAAAGCCUGAUGCAGCGACGCCGCGUGAGGGAUGACGGCCUUCGGGUUGUAAACCUCUUUCAGCAGGGAAGAAGCGAAAGUGACGGUACCUGCAGAAGAAGCACCGGCUAACUACGUG